UACGAAGGGGGGCUAGCGUUGCUCGGAAUCACUGGGCGUAAAGGGUGCGUAGGCGGGUCUUUUAAGUCAGGGGGUGAAAUCCUGGAGCUCAACUCCAGAACUGCCUUUGAUACUGAGGAUCUUGAGUUCGGGAGAGGUGAGUGGAACUGCGAGUGUAGAGGUGAAAUUCGUAGAUAUUGGGAAGAACACCAGUGGCGAAGGCGGCUAACUGGUCCAGCACUGACGCUGAGGUGCGAAAGCGUGGGGAGCAAACAGG
rnacentral:rRNA from 1 species